rnacentral:rRNA from 1 species
AUUGAACGCUGGCGGCAGGCCUAACACAUGCAAGUCGAACGAGUGGCGGACGGGUGAGUAAUGUAUGGGACACUGCCUGAUGGAGGGGGAUAACUACUGGAAACGGUAGCUAAUACCGCAUACCAUCGGAUGUGCCCAGAUGGGAUUAGCUAGUGGGUGGGGUAAAGGCUUACAUAGGCGACGAUCCCUAGCUGGUACGAGAGGAGGACCAGCAACACUGGAACUGAGAAACGGCCCAGACUCCCACGGGGGGCGGCAGUGGGGAAUAUUGCACAAGGGGCGAAAGCCGGAUACAGCCAGGCCGCGUGUAUGAAGAAGGCCUUCGGGUGGUAAAGUACGUUCAGCGGGUAGGCGUUACCCGCAGAAGAAGCACCGGCUAACUCCGUGCCAGCCGCCGCGGUAAUAC